GACUUUUUUAGUAUAAUAAGUAUGUUUGACUUCCAAUCAAUAGGUUUAGAAAUAUUCUAAAAAAAGUAA
rnacentral:tRNA from 1 species